rnacentral:rRNA from 1 species
GACGUAGGGGGCGAGCGUUGUCCGGAUUUAUUGGGCGUAAAGAGCGCGUGGGCGGCCCGUUAAGUCGGAUGUGAAAACCCGUGGCUCAACCACGGGCCUGCAUCCGAUACUGGCGGGCUCGAGGCAGGCAGGGGAGAUCGGAAUUCCUGGUGUAGCGGUGAAAUGCGCAGAUAUCAGGAGGAACACCGGUGGCGAAGGCGGAUCUCUGGGCCUGUCCUGACGCUCAGGCGCGAAAGCUAGGGGAGCAAACAGG